AAAAAAAUUAAUAAUUAGGAAACUAACACCAAACAAAAAAAAGAUGAUAUUCUCAAUAUUUUCUGUAUUAAUUCUACUUUUGCCCCUACUAAAACACACACACCUCUCAUCUCCUUCUUUCUACCUCUCUCACCAUCUCUUGGCCAGACCCUAACUCUAAUCAUGAUUCUAGUCUUCUAGAUAUGUCGCAGAGUGAUCGACAACUCCACGAUUUCAUCUCUUUAUCUAUUCAAGUGACUUAAAUGAUUGUUGCAUGCCUUGAAGCUUCGAGUAGAUCUCCGACGGAACUCCGAGAGCAAAAAAGUGCGGCAGCCAAAGUAAACGAGUUUCCAAUUUUUUUUUUUUUUUUUUGAGCAAAGAACGAGUUUCCAAUUUAGUGGCGAAAAACGGUGGAGGAGUGGUAGCGGAUGUGACUUCUUCCAGAUGAAAGAGAAACGAUGCUAGAUAUGGUCCAGAAAUCUCCGAUCAAAAUCGGAGCUAGCAAGGGCUUCUUCUGACGGUGGCGGCUGCGGGGAAGGUAGACCUAAACCAACAAAAUUCAAUUUAGCCGCAUCAGAAAUCACAGCCAUCGUCGAUCUAUCACCGGAACGAUUCAAUUUGAUAGACGUAUUAACCUACUAUAUAUCUCAGCUUGCUCCACGACCUUCCAACCCGAGACUCAUGCGAAGUAAUACUAAAGAAUAUAGCUCAAUUCCCUACUUUUCCAAACCUACUUGCUUCAUUUUUUUCGAUUGGGUUUUCGAAUCAACUAAAUAGCAUGAAUGUAUGUACUAUACUAUUUUGUCGUUAUGGAAUUAACAAAGUAAUCAAUUGAAGUUUAUACCGAUUUUGGUGUUCCUACAUCUUUGUUUUGAUUGGUUGGUCUUACAAAGAACAAAUAUAUAACUAAGAUGAUGGCGAAGACGAACUAUACUAUUUAAGAUGAUGACGUUACCAUCCGUUUUCACUCUCCUCAAGCACACGUACAAAAAGAGAAACGAGUGAGAAGGACUAAGUAGACUUUUUACCCCUCCUUUGUGUUACUCACUUAAUUUCUUUCUUUAUAGUGCUAUAUCCUUAAAUAUUUUAUCAAAAUGUGUUAUUUCUGCAAAAGACCC
rnacentral:lncRNA from 1 species